AUUCCAGUGUAGAGUGAAAUUCGUAGAUAUGGAAAGAACACCGGUGCGAAGGCGCAACCUGUCCUUUACUGACGCUGAGGCGCGAAGCGUGGGAGCAAACAGGAUUAGAUACCCUGGUAGUCCACGCUGUAAACGAUGUGUGCUGGAUGUUGGGGAACUUAGUUUCUCAGUGUCGUAGCUAACGCGAUAAGCACACCGCCUGGGGAGUACGGCCGCAAGGUUUGAAACUCAAAGGAAUUGACGGGGGCCCGCACAAGCGGUGGAGCAUGUGGUUUAAUUUCGAAGCAACGCGCAGAACCUUACCAGGAUUUGACAUGGGGAGGACCGGUACAGAGAUGUACUUUUCCCGCAAGGGACCUUCCGCACAGGUGCUGCAUGGCUGUCAUCAGCUCGUGUCGUGAGAUGUUGGGUUAAGUCCCGCAACGAGCGCAACCCUCGCCUUUAGUUGCCAUCAUUUAGUUGGGCACUCUAGAGGAACUGCCGGUGACAAGCCGGAGGAAGGUGGGGAUGACGUCAAGUCCUCAUGGCCCUUAUGUCCUGGGCUACACACGUGCUACAAUGGUGGUGACAGUGGGAAGCUAGGUAGUGAUACCGUGCUGAUCUCUAAAAGCCAUCUCAGUUCAGAUUGUACUCUGCAACUCGAGUACAUGAAUGGUGGAAUCGCUAGUAAUGCGUGGAUCAGCAUGCCACGGUGAUACGUUCCCGGG
rnacentral:rRNA from 1 species